CGGCAGAGUCACGGCUCCACAGCGACUCAUAAACCACAAUCUUAUUUUACCAAGAGUCUUCUCGGCGCCGGAUAUCAGUGUGUCAAGCGCUACCCGAGUGUGAACAUGGAUGCAUGGGAAGAUGCAUCACUGCCUCUCAGAUUGUAGUAAACUCAAAACGAAAAUGACGAUCAAAUUCUGUUUGUUCGAUUUUCUUCUUUUGUUAUUUAUCAAUUACGGGAAUACUCAAGGAAAUAUCAGCUUGUCUCCUGCGAAUCCGCUGUACUGGUUAGACAGUUACAUCAAAAUCACCUGCAGAACUUACUCGCCCAACAUCAAAGUGAAGGAAUGCAGCUGGUUUAUAAACGACAGCAAGGUUUCAAAUGGAGAAAUCUAUCAGUUUUCUGUGGACGAGAAAGAAAGAGAAUGUGUUAUGACUGUUAAAUUGGCGGCAACUGCCAAAAAUGGCAAAUGGAGAUGUCUGCUUCACCUGUCGGCAACUAGCCGCAUUUCAGAUUUAAGUGCUUCCACCAAUGUGGCCAUUUUCGAGCUAACUCUGAGGGAAUUCGUCAUAAUCAUUUGUGGUGUACCCAUUUUCUUGGCAAUGUCGCUCAUUAUCGCAGGGCUAAUAAUGAAAAAUCGGCGCCAAAUAUCUCCUGUGGAACCGCGAAAUUGUUUCGUUGCUUCAGCACCAGUGGUUUUGGAAGGAGGUUUAAAUGGCGAAAUGCCACCCCCCCACCUUCGUAUGACACAGUUUUUGGCGACAGAAUGCUAACCGAUCAGCUCGCCCGACUAGAGUUUUCCGGGUUUCAUAAUUGCACAGAAGGUCGUUCAUCUCUUCACGAUAACGACGAACCAGGAAACUUUGAGCCAGCGUUCAAAAGUAGAUCAGCCCCUACUUUGGUUGUCGCGUAGAACAGCGUUUUAGAGAAUACAGAAAACGCUGUCUAUGAAUUAAUGAAACUUAAAUAUUUACACCAAAAACUAGACCGUUAAACUUGUAUUAUCCCUGGUCUGUUAUUAAUGGUUUCAAUUGAAUAUGUACAUAUGGAAGACUGGUUAAUCUUAGUUUAACCUUCUGCCAAUAUUGUCGUCCUUGUAAAGUGCAACAAAAUACAUUCAAAACGAACAUUUAA